ensembl:lncRNA
CCAAGCUCUGUUGAUGUCCUGACCUCUGGUAAUAAACACCAAGCUCUGUUGAUGUCUUGACCUCUGGUAAUAAACACCAAGCUCUGUUGAUGGCCUGUCUCCAUGCUCCACCAACCAGGCCCUGUCCCUAUGCUGCACCAACCAGGCCUUGUCUUCAUGCUCCACCAACCAGGGCCUGUCCCCAUGCUCCACCAACCAGGCCUUGUCUUCAUGCUGCACCAACCCAGGGCCUGUCUUCAUGCUCCACCAACCAGGGCCUGUUUUCAUGCUCCAGCAACCAGGGCCUUGUCCCCAUGCUGCACCAACCAGGGCCUGUCUUCAUGCUGCACCAACCAGGGCCUGUCUCCAUGCUCCACCAACCAGGGCCUGUCUUCAUGCUCCAC